rnacentral:lncRNA from 1 species
UGCUCUCUCUCUCUAUUUUCUUUGAUGCAAUUUAGAGAGAAAGAGCAGUGCGAACUAAAAAAAAAAGAUAAUCGGGAGAUGAUUAAAAAAAAGAUACAUAGACAUAUAAAGUAAAGGGAUGUAUAUAUUAUUCCUAUAUAUAUCAUCUAUCUAUGAAAAAAGUAAACAGAGUUCGUUUUUGGGUUCCCCGAAGCCCCGAAUGGAUUGGAUCGUUUCUGCUUCUGCCAACGAAAUGAAGGCCUCGCCCCUUCCGAAUGCUUCUCCGAUCCUGAACGCGAAGAGAAUAAGAUGCAGCUCCCCCUCCCUCUGUCUUUUUCCGCUUUGCUAAUCUUCCCCUCUAACGCGGGCCGGGCUUAGGCGGGCGCGGGAGGAAGAAAGAAAGUCGAAGAGCGUCUUCUCCUUUGUCCUUUUUUCAGUGCAACACAGGAAAGCACCCUCUUUUUGUAAUCUCUGCAGCUUCCCAGAGGCUUUUUUUUGUAUUGAACGCAUGGCGUAGCUAGGACCCCCCAAUCAUGUUUGAGCCUAUGUUCACCCGGGGCUCAAAAAGGAGAAUUCCGGAAUGCCUGCCGACGUUCAGAUAAGGUGCAUAUCCCUUACCACUAAAGGAAAGGCUCGACGAAGGGGGGGAUAUUUGCAGGGUAAGGAAAACGCUUUCGGAGAUUGAGAUGUCGAUUUGUUUUUCAUCGAAAAGGAAGAAGGCCGAGGGGAUAGCAGCCUUCCUUCGGGCUUUGCCUGCCGACGUUCUAAUAAAGAAUUCCGGCUCGGCCCGGGAAAGCGCUGGCAACAACAUAAAGAAAGGGGUCCAUGUAGCUGCUGCGCCCGCCCACUGAGCAGCAGGUUCGGCAUCUACUACAAAAGAGAGAAUCCACUUCAGAUAACCACGUCUCUGCUAGGCAGCGUGUGGAAUGGCCGAGAGCGGACCAAAUGGAUAUAUAAUCCAAGCCGAGAGUGGAGUUACGUGAACAGCCGUCUGAUGGAAAACAACUUUCACGUUCGGUUCAGAGAGCACUUUUUUCGUUGAGAAUAAGUCCUUCCCUUUUGUGUGAAUUCCCCAGCGGCGAAUUAACCAACUUGUGGGGCCCUAUCUAUUCAAUCUCUCGAGCCCCAAGAAAACCCCCCUCUCCCUCGGACUCAAUCUCUCUUUUGACUCUAUAUAUGUGGGCACCUGAUAUCUAUGAGGGUUCACCCACCCCGGUGACAGCAUUCCUUUCUAUUGCGCCUAAAAUCUCUAUUUCUGCAAAUAUGUCACGUGUUUCUAUUGUUGCUUCCUAUGGGGGUACAUUACAACAAAUCUUCUUUUUCUGCAGCAUUGCUUCUAUGAUCUUAGGAGCACUGGCCGCCAUGGCCCAAACGAAAGUAAAAAGACCUCUAGCUCAUAGUUCGAUUGGACAUGUAGGUUAUAUUCGUACUGGUUUCUCAUGUGGAACCAUAGAAGGAAUUCAAUCACUACUAAUUGGUAUAUUUAUUUAUGCAUCAAUGACGAUAGAUGCAUUCGCCAUAGUUCCAGCAUUACGGCAAACCCGUGUCAAAUAUAUAGCGGAUUUGGGCGCUCUAGCCAAAACGAAUCCUAUUUUGGCUAUGACCUUCUCCAUUACAAUGUUCUCAUACGCAGGAAUACCCCCGUUAGCCGGCUUUUGUAGCAAAUUCUAUUUGUUCUUCGCCGCUUUGGGUUGUGGGGCUUACUUCCUAGCCCCAGUGGGAGUAGUGACUAGCGUUAUAGGUCGUUGGGCGGCCGGAAGGUUGCCAUGAGUAAGGUUGGGAGACCGAAGGCUGUUUUCCGUGCACCGGACACGUAGCUUACCGAAUCAGUUGCAACACAGAUGGGAAUGCAUGCUACGAAAGACAGGGUCGAGUCUGAUACAUCAACCGUCGACUCCAUAUCCUUGUACGAGUCCACAAUCACUACACGAGAUGAACCUGGGUUUGGUGAAUGGAAGUUGGCCUUAGGUGUAAUAGGACUCCCAGUUACUGCGCGCGAUCGUAUACUGAGGUGCUCCCCGUCGGUUGUUGGAACGACGCGAGCCGGGCCGGGCCUCGAUUCCUUUCAUAAAGAUGAAGGGACAGAGGUGACUAAUUCCCCAUCUCAUUUGGGGCGGAAAACGAAUCGACAUCUCGAUGUGAUACAGCCCUUUCCAUUUUCGUUGGGAAAGAACGGCGAAGUCCAUCCGAACCCUCCAAUGAAGAAAUAAGAGGAGAGCAAAGCGCCAAUGGCGCGCGAAGCGCAUGCGGAAGGGGCACGGAGAAAUAAAGAAGUGUGGAGGAGAAGCAGCCGAGCUCAUUCCCUUCGCUUCCUGGGCCCAAAGCAGUGCUUUGUUUCCUGGCCAAAUCAAGGAUUUGGGGCUGAUUGCAAAAGAUAUCUGAAUAGAAAGAUAGAUCCAUCCAUCUAUCCAGAUAUCUAAAAAAGAAUCGAUUUUGAUUUCAUGAAACCUUUGAUUCAAAGAACUGCGCUUAGCCCCCCCGCUCAUGAAACGGCUCUGCUGCAAUGGAUGGCAGAGGGUCCGUAGUACCCGAAGCACUGGAGUGAUCCAGUAGCCGGGAAGGGGCCUAGAAGUGCCUACUACUACACCACACUACACUUGGCUCUACACAUUUACAGAGCUUACCCCUGUCCAGUGUCUGGCAGAACGUUGGGGGCUUCAAUCAUCGACUCGUUAUCCCCAUCUCAGCCCAGGCUAACGGAGCCUGACUUAUUCAGGGGAGAGAGUGGAGCCUAUCGAAGCACUCUUGAGAGUAAGAUCCUUGGCUCCUCUUCAUUCUCUACAGGGGUCUCUGCCCACAUGGAAGCGGGGCAGAGAUGGAUAAGAUCAAACACGGGAAUAAGAAGCAUUUAAAAUGCCUUUUUGAUCAUUUUUAUAGAGGGGGAUGGAUAAAGUGGGCAAAACAGACUCACAUUUUUCAAUCGAAAAGAUGGGUUCCUUUUUCGUCUCGACAAAGAAAGAAUCAUCUUGAGCUCCUAACCCCUUCGUAGGGCCGUGUAUAGUAAGUGAUCCGAACCUGCCCGGAGCGAGCCCCCCUUAGAGGCAAGUGAAGUUGGUGAGCCGUAUGAUGGGCAACUAUCUCCUGCGGUUCGGAGAGGACUCAGCUGUUAGUUAGUACCCCCUUGGUUUCGGGGUGGACCCUUUCACUCUAUUUUAUUAUAUACGCUUAGCGAAAAGAAUGUUUUUUGAUAGACCUAGGACAUGGAUUCUAUAUGAACCAAUGGAUCGUGACAAGUCGUUACUACUAGCAAUGACUUCCUCUUUCAUUACUUCAUCCUUUCCAUAUCCCUCUCCCUUGUUCGAUCUUACUCAUCAAAUGGCACUCAGUUCAUAUCUGUAAAUUCGAUCAUUUACAAGGUUCAAAGAAAGGGUGGACUGCAGGUAAGCACUAAUUCUCUGCAUUUCCGUGAUUCAAAAACAAGGGCGUACGUAGCCCAUUGUAGAUUCCAGCCGAGAAGAUUAAGGAAUUGUGACAGCAACCAUGUUACUUGCUAAAUUGUGCCUAUAUCUACUCCAAAACAGGAGGCAUUCAUCUAUUCAUUCAAAUACUACAUAUAGUGAGGUUAGCCAUGUUAUACGCUGCUUACUAAAAGGGGGUUACACCUUCUCUCGCAGGCGUUGGUCAAUACGGGAUCCUACCAAGCCAGAUAAAUUAUGGCCGAUAGGCGCUUUGGAUGCUGUCAUAGUCGAGGCAAUGGCCCGCUUGCUUUGUUUGGAAAUGGACUCGAUAUACCAUCUAAAUUCCAGAGAGUAUGGGGUAGCGAGGGGUGCUAGGUCUUUCUUCGCAAGCGUUUCCCGAUGGCCUGAGAUGGCUUGGAUGGUGAAGUUUUCAAUCGUUGAGUGCAGAUCAGGGAUAGAUCACCACCUACUGGGUAAUUUUCUUAGAGAGCAUCUUGGUGAGGAAAACUCUGGGUUUGUGGAUUUGGUUCUGAUAUUUUUGGUGCGGGGAAAAAAAUACAGAUGCCAAUCUAUAGGUAUACCGCAAGACACCUCUAUCUCCCAAGUUCUAAUCCAAUGUUAUCUUCACCAGCUUGACAAGAUCUUAAAAGAGGUGUGGUACUUCUGAACAGCCUUUGAAGGUGUACUAUGCUAGGUAUGCGGACACAAUCUUGUUAGGCAUUCCACGAAUUCAAAAUUUCUUUAAUGCCGCUAGAGCUAAAGAGCAUGCGCGAACCAUACUCAAAAAUUAUUGCGAUAAGUUAGACCUCGAUGUCAGCUGGGAGGAGAUUACCUCUGAGAAACUUCUCAUUUUUCUUGGUGGGAAAAAAAAGUUUGACAGGGUUGCUUGUCUCUUUUACAGAUAGUGGGGGCAUCAAAGUUAGGAUUCCUUUAAAGAUGUGGGGGAAAAGUAUUAGCACUGGUAGACUGGUCCAGGAGUUUAGGGGUGGCCUUAACCGUCUCACAAUGGCAAACUUCCUCAAGCUACUCAAUGAACACGUUGAGGCCUACCUACGCACUUCUUUCCAAUAUCCUCUAUCUCAAAAUCAAGUCGUUACGCAUUUCUCGCUUCCGUUAAAAACAAGGAAAUGCAACGAAAAAAUAGGACGAUUACGGAACUUUUUCUGUCCCCAACUUUUCCCACAUUUAUUCGUUUACUUUUUCGUAUCACUAAUUCAGGAAAGUCCCUCUAUGGAGGACUGAUGUUCUCCGUUUUACGGAUCCAAAAGUGGGUAACGCAUUGCGAUCUCUAGAUUUUAUGGCUGAUGCUUAUAAUAUGCCCGCUGCAGAAGCGAAACCUGUUGCCAUCGUCAUUUCAAUCACAAUUAAGGGAGACCGAACGGGUUCAAGGCAUUGGGCAGAAUGAACGCUUUUUCCUCUCCUUUAUCCGAAGCUGUUGGAUUUCUACCCUUAACCAGUACGACGAUAGGAAAGAUAAGUUGAUAAGCGAACUCAGAAAAGGAUCAAUUCCAGAAGAAGAGACCUCGACUCUUAGUUUAGUAGAGUAUAGUCCACGGUGAACGAACGAGUCCCUAGGAUAAGUGAAAUUGGUAGGUCGAGCUAAGCCAGAUGAUUAGUAAUCAAGAUUAGACCAAAACAACUACCGGGGAAAUCCUCAACGUGAUAAAAUACUAUGAGAUGAAAGAUGCAAAUGGCAAGUCCUCAAUGUGGACGAUCCCCAGAUAUACUUCUGCUCUUCUGGGAAAUUAGAUGGCAAAUAAGCAUUCGUCAGGAAGGAGGGACGGACUUUGCUUUGGCUAAGGAUGGGGAUCAGGAAUUUUAAAAUCCUACUCUUUAUCAUAGCCAUCCCUUAGAUUAUAUAUAAUGAAGAAGAAAGGAGUGAUUCCUCGAGUAGAUUUAUGUUUCUGCUGAAUGAAUAAAUAUGAUAUGAGAUGGAGGGUCACACUUACGAUGGCACGCACCGCACUUCGAGAGGAAGGGGUCUUCGGUUCGCAUUCUUUUCAUCGUCGACAACGGUUCCUAGCGCUAGUUUGCGAAAAAUCCCUUGCUUCUUCGGUUCAAACAGGAGGAGAGGAGUACGCAUCCCGUGCCAACUACAUAAUGCCUGAUGGCCAAACAAGGCUUCUGACUACGAAAGACACCACCCCAGCAGGGAAAGGCGUGAAGCGUAAAAAGCAGCUAAUCUGGAAGUCCGGUAGUAAUCGAAGUAAUCCGUCAAGGCGAGCCAAAGAAGGGUCUCAGGAACCGAUAAAUCUGAGAAUUGGCAAUCCAGAAGUGGGUGUCGGAAAAGAAGAGACAAGACUUUCCCUCAUUCAUUCCUUAGAUUAGGACGGGGAAGCUUCCUAGAGAGUAGUUAACCCGGGUUAGCUUUGAUGGACUACUUACUGGCGCACGGUAUUCAUAUGAGAAAAGGUUGUUCGUGGAUAACAGUUGUAUUUCUUUACUUGACCCGUACUUCCUUCCCUUAACCUGAUCCAGCUAGUCUUUCCUAAGAGAUAGGAAGCCGAGAAACUAAACAGGGGAUAGCUAUCGUAUCGAAAGAGAAGCAUCGAAAGUAUAGAACCCCGGAGCGAGGGGAAGGUCGGAUCCUUGACCGAGAGGAGGCCAUCCCGAGUUGGUAAGAGGUUGGAAAAGAGGAAAGCAGCUACCCGACCGCGCUAGUUGCUCAAUCCGUGGCUUGUGAUACUAAAGAAACCAAGCAAGAAAACGGAUGCUAUGCUAGUUAGCGCUACGAGCAAUCAAACGGAUAUGCUCAAAGGAAAGAACGGACAUUUCUACGAGUGAACUCGCUAAAGCUGAAGAUCCACCAUCCAAUUUAGGCAUUGGGCAGAACUCUCUCAAUCCAGGAACUAGCUCCUAUCUCGAUGAUUCCAUUUCUCUUUUUCAGAGUUAGCUUCUUUCCUAUGGUCAAGAGUACUCUUGUUUCCUAGUCGAGGGAUAAUCAAGUCAUUUCGAAAGGGGAUUUAUCCGUUCCCCUAGCCAUCGAGCAACUGCGAGAAACACCGCGCCCGUGCCCCCGUCGCUCGCCGGAGCAGCCGUGCGUGGCGUACCAAUUUCUUAUCUGGUGGAUCUUGUCUGUUCUUUCGAAAGUGUUUCUACAAACGAGUGAGGUAAACCCAUCUCGGUCGAAUAAUUCGUAUCUUUAGACCAUUCAGAGCCGUUUGCAUUAAGUGUUGGGAUUUUUUUUGUUGUCAUUACCCUCAACUUAAUUGCCGUCCACCUCUUGCCGUGUUAUUGGCUAGAGAAAGACAACCGAUUGUACUACUACAGUGUUGAGUACCCCAGUUGCUCCGCGGGUGAUUAUGCCCUAAAUUAUCAGGAGUGGUGGAAAAAUAUGGGUGCGUAUAUUUCCCGACAAACCGGUUACAAUAAGACCCACAGAAACACGUAUGGGCUCGGGAAAGGGAUCCCCCGAAUAUUGGGUAGCCGUUGUUAAACCAGGUCGAAUACUUUAUGAAAUGAGCGGAGUAUCCGAAACUGUAGCUAGAGCAGCUAUCUCUAUAGCUGCCAGUAAAAUACCCAUACGAAGUCAAUUUCUUCGAUUAGAGAUAUAGAACCCCAAAAAGGAGUAUUGAAGAUAAAAAACCCCUGGUUUUUCUUUCUGGAAAGACAAUAUUUCUUUCAUCCUUUUGCAUUGAAAUAACAAAUGGAAAUCCAAAUAAUAUGAUUCAACCUCAGACCCUUUUAAAUGUAGCAGAUAACAGUGGAGCUCGAAAAUUGAUGUGUAUUCGAGUCAUAGGAGCCGCUGGUAAUCAGCGAUAUGCUCGUAUUGGUGAUGUUAUUAUUGCUGUAAUCAAAGACGCAGUGCCCCAAAUGCCUCUAGAAAGAUCCGAAGUAAUUCGAGCUGUAAUUGUACGUACACGUAAAGAAUUCAAAGGCGACGACGGUAUAAUAAUACGCUAUGAUGACAAUGCAGCAGUUAUCAUUGAUCAAAAAGGAAAUCCAAAAGGAACUAUAGUUUUUGGCGCGGUUGCCGAAGAAUUAAGAGAAUUGAAUUUUACUAAAAUAGUUUCAUUAGCUCCUGAAGUAUUAUAAAUACUAGUAGACGAGAUAUAGAUCAAAGAAAAAAUUAGUAGAUUGUGUCUCACGUAUAUGCUUUAAAAUCCUAAAUUUAAAGAAAAGGGAAAACAUGUUGAUUAUAGAAAAAUUAGGAGGAACCUAGAAUUAGAGUCUUAUGGGCAAGGACACUAUUGCUGAUUUACUAACCUCUAUAAGAAACGCAGACAUGAAUAAAAAAGGAACUGUUCGAGUAGUAUCCACAAAUAUUACCGAAAACAUUGUGAAAAUACUUCUACGAGAGGGUUUUAUUGAAAGUGUUCGGAAACAUCAGGAAAGUAACAGAUAUUUCUUGGUUUCAACUUUGCGACAUCAAAGGAGAAAGACUAGAAAGGGAAUAUAUAGAACUAGAACCUUUUUAAAGCGUAUCAGCCGACCUGGCUUACGAAUUUAUGCCAACUAUCAAGGAAUUCCUAAGGUUUUGGGCGGAAUGGGAAUUGCUAUUCUUUCUACUUCUCGAGGUAUAAUGACAGAUCGAGAAGCUCGACUAAACAGAAUUGGGGGAGAAGUUUUAUGUUAUAUAUGGUAAUGGCCCCACCUAUAGUACCCAAAUUCUAUCUCGAACUUCCUAUUUUGAAAAUAAAAAUUGAAAAAUAGGAGAAAAAUAUAUGACAGAAAAAAAAAAAUAGGAGAGAAAAAAAACCCGAGAGAAGCAAAAGUAACUUUCGAAGGUUUAGUUACGGAAGCCCCACCCAACGGAAUGUUCCGCGUUCGCCUAGAGAAUGACACGAUCAUCCUGGGCUAUAUUUCAGGAAAGAUCCGGUCUAGCUCUAUACGAAUACUGAUGGGGGAUAGGGUCAAAAUUGAAGUAAGUCGUUAUGAUUCCAGCAAAGGUCGUAUAAUUUAUAGACUUCCCCAUAAGGAUUCGAAGCGUACCGAAGACUCGAAGGAUACUGAAGAUUUGAAGGAUACCAAAGAUUCAAAGGAUUAGGUUUUUCUGGGAACUUCCAAGUUUAUAAAUUUAAGUGAAGAGACUUAUUUUUUCCAAAAGAAUAGAUUCAUAGUUUAAGAAAGGAAUACCUAUAUAUGAAAAUAAGAGCUUCCGUUCGUAAAAUUUAAAAUGUCGACUGAUUCGCAGGCGUGGGCGAAUUAGAGUCAUUUGUUCCAAUCCGAAGCAUAAACAAAGACAGGGGUAAUCUUUCGAAAAAGAAGCUUUUCUUUCUAUUCUAAUAAAGUAAAAAAAAAGUACCCACUGAAAUGUCCAAAUUGCAAAUAAAAAAAAUGAAAGUAAAGGAUAUAUUUUAACCUGAAACGGAUAUCUUUGUAUCUUUUUUCUUUUUGUUAUUUCUAACUCAUAUUUAUGAGAUAAUAAAAUAUGACAAAAGCUAUACCAAAAAUAGGUUCACGUAAGAAAGUGCGUAUUGGUUUGCGUAGGAAUGCCCGUUUUAGUUUACGGAAGAGUGCACGUAGAAUAACAAAAGGGGUUAUUCAUGUUCAAGCCAGUUUCAACAAUACCAUUAUAACCGUUACAGACCCACAAGGUCGGGUCGUUUUCUGGUCCUCCGCAGGUACUUGUGGAUUCAAAAGCUCAAGAAAAGCAUCACCCUAUGCUGGUCAAAGAACAGCAGUAGAUGCUAUUCGUACAGUGGGUUUGCAACGAGCAGAAGUUAUGGUAAAAGGUGCUGGUAGCGGAAGAGAUGCCGCAUUACGAGCCAUUGCUAAAAGUGGUGUACGGUUAAGUUGUAUACGCGAUGUAACACCUAUGCCGCAUAAUGGAUGUCGACCUCCUAAAAAAAGACGUCUGUAAAAAAAAAUGAAACCGCUUUCAAGAGAAAUAAACGAUUCAAUGAUCAAAUAAUAAUACUAGUCGUCUGUUAUGGUUCGAGAAGAGAUAACAGGAUCCACUCAAACACUAGAGUGGAAGUGUGUUGAAUCAAGAGUAGAUAGUAAACGUCUUUAUUAUGGUCGUUUCAUUCUGUCUCCGCUUAGAAAAGGUCAAGCGGAUACUGUCGGUAUUGCCUUGCGAAGAGCUUUACUUGGAGAAAUAGAAGGAACAUGUAUCACACGCACCAAAUUUGGGAACGUGCCACAUGAAUAUUCCACAAUAGUAGGUAUUGAAGAAUCCAUACAAGAAAUUUUACUAAAUUGGAAAGAAAUUGUAUUGAGAAGUAAUCUCUAUGGAGUUAGAGACGCAUCAAUUUGCGUCAAAGGUCCUAGAUACAUAACCGCUCAAGAUAUAAUCUUACCGCCUUCCGUAGAAAUCGUUGAUACGACACAACCUAUAGCUAACUUGAGAGAGCCCGUUGAUUUCUGUAUUGAGUUACAGAUCAAGAGAGAUCGCGGAUAUCAUACGGAACUCAGAAAGAACUCUCAAGAUGGAAGUUAUCCUAUAGAUGCUGUAUUCAUGCCUGUUCGAAAUGUGCAUUAUAGUAUUUUUUCUUGUGGGAAUGGAAAUGAAAAAACACGAGAUACUUUUUUUAGAAAUAUGGACGAAUGGAAGUUUAACUAAAGAAGCGCUUUAUGAAGCUUCUCGUAAUUUGAUUGAUUUAUUUCUUCCUUUUCUACACACAGAGGAAGAGGGCACUAGUUUCGAAGAAAAUAAAAACAGGUCCCCUUUUAACCUUUCAAAAAAGAUUCACUAAUCUAAAGAAAAACAAAAAAGGAAUUCCAUUGAAUUGUAUUUUUAUUGAUCAAUUAGAAUUGCCUUCUAGAACGUAUAAUUGUCUCAAAACAAUAUACAUACACUAUUGGACCUUUUGAGUAAGACUGAAGAAGAUCUUAUGCGAAUUAAUAGUUUUCGUAUGGAAGAUGGAAAACUGAUAUGGGACACUCUAGAGAAGCAUCUCCCAAUUGAUUUACCUAAGAACAAGUUCUCGCUUUAAAUCAUUGCAAUUUUAUCCUCUUCUUCUUUUUUGAGUUAGAAUAAAAAGAAAAAAGAAAGCAAUUUUGCAUCUUUGGCACAAUCUAUAUUUUCGCGAAAUGGAUCAUAAUAAAAUAGAUUUUAGGUAUCUAGGGAAGAUUCACUUGGAAGUAACUAUUUCCUAGAUACCCAUGCAGGGGACUUCGCGGUGGAAUGAAUCAACUCGAAAAAUCCCUAAACUAAAAAAGACCUAAAGUUAAGGAUUUAUCAAUGGGUAAUGUUGCUCCAAUACCUAACCAAAGAGCUACUGCAGUACCGAUUAAAAAAACGGUCGUAGCUACUGGGCGACGAAAUGGAUUUUGGAAUUUAUUUACAUUCUCUAGAAAGGGUACUGCGCCCGUUGGCACAGAAACCAUUAAGAGAACGCCCAAUAACUUAUUGGGUACUGUACGGAGUAUUUUAAAUACGGGAAAGAAGUACCACUCGGGUAAUAUUUCCAAAGGAGUUGCAAACGGAUCCGCCGGUUCACCAAUCAUUGACGGCUCUAGAACCGCUAAACCUACAUUACACGCAAUAGUACCUAGAAUUACUACUGGAAAAAUGUAUAAAAGAUCGUUGGGCCACGCGGGUUCCCCAUAAUAAUUAUGUCCCAUCCCUUUAGCUAAUUUUGCUCUUAAUACAGGAUCAUUUAAGUCAGGUUUCUUUGUUAUUGGGAUAGGUGAAUUCUUUAGGAUCCAUCCCCCAAAGGAACCGGACAUGAGAAUUUUUCAUCAUCCGGCUCGAGCAAGAAUGAAAGAAAUAAGACCGUGGAGGAUCCACAAUAGAAUAGGGUAUAUAAUGACUCAAUGACUCAAGGUAAGAAAAGCUUUAUCAAAUUAUCUUUUCCGAAGUUGCGCCUAUAACUACUCAUUGAAAAGAAUCCUAUUCUUAUGCUUAAAUGCUCAAUAUCCAAGUGGGCUUACAAAUUUGAUCAUGAUCAAUUGCUUUGUGGAUUGUCUCUUGAUUAGUUGGUGUUUAUCCCCUCGAUAUCGCAAGUUUCUUAUGUCCAAACAAAGUAUUUACUUGUUACUAAUAAAAAAUUUAAAAGUUUAGCCUGCGUUCUUCCUUAGAUCCCUUCUUUUACUCCGAUAGUAUUGCGGAUCAAAAUCGAUGCAAAGAAAAUGAAUGCAUUUCCAUACUAUAAUAAAAAGUCAGUAUAAUAAAAAUAGAAUUGGAUCAUAUCACAUGACUUAUUCCAUUUAUACUCUAUAGGAUCUUACGGAGCCUGUUCAUGGAUGACAUGGUUGGGGUAUGAUCAUAGAAAAUAUUCUCCUCGAGUGAACCAGCCUAUCCUUCCUAGAUAGGGGACUUACGUGUUGAUUGGAUGCGGAGACACCUUUGGUCGUGAAUUCUAAUGUGGCAGAUCCAAUUCUCUAUCUGCAUGGCCAAAUCAAUAAUUCAAGUCACACACUCCCAUAAUCCGCCUUAUUUUCUUUCGUAAAAUUCACUUCAACUAUUUGUAUAAGUAUAAAAAUACUUCGAAGUUGAAGAGAAGUAUCCAAAUGACAUGUCUUAUUUUACAAUAACCCAUGUUUGUAGCAAUGAAAUACCACAACCUACCCGAUAUGAUAUAUUAGAAUUAGAAUUCUCUAUGAUAUGCCUCCCCUAUAAAGGACCCGAAAUACCUUGCUUACGUAUCAUUGGAAAGUGCAUUAACAUAAAUACGGCAGUAAGCAGAGGUAGUACAAAGGUAUGUAAACUAUAAAAACGAGUCAAAGUGGAUUGGCCCACACUAGCACUUCCACGAAAUAAUUCCACUAAAGGGGACCCUAUUACCGGAAUAGCUUCGGGUACACCUGUAACAAUUUUGACUGCCCAAUAACCAAUUUGAUCCCAAGGCAAAGAAUAACCAGUUACACCAAAUGAUGCAGUCAAUACAGCCAAAACCACGCCUGUGACCCAACACGGGGUUUUCAAAAUCCACCUGUGAGAUACACACGAAAUACGUGCAGGAUCAUCAUUAGAACCAUCAUACUUGCUGACCAUCGAUGAACCGAUCGGAUUAACCAACCAAAGUUGGCCUCCGUCAUUAUAUAUUGAACGGAGGAAAAAGCCUCUGUAACGGUUGGUCGGUAGUAAAAAGUCAUAGCAAAACCGGUAGCGACUUGUACUAGAAAACAAGUAAGUGUAAUUCCCCCUAAACAAUAAAAUAUGUUGACAUGAGGAGGAACAUAUUUACUAGUUAUAUCAUCCGCAAUUGCCUGAAUCUCAAGACGUUCUUCAAACCAAUCAUAUACUUUAUUGAGAUAGGUAACUAGCCCGACUCCCCCUCCGAGAACCGUAUAUGAAAAUUUCAUCUCGUACGGCUCAAGCAGAAAUACACAAAUUUUCAACGGAUAUUAGAAAAAAAGGUUCAAAACUCCAUCAGCCACGGUAUUGGAUCGAUUUGCCUUGAAGAUAUGAAAUAAGAAAAAUCCAGUAUCGACAGGCCUAGUUCUUUUCCUUUGCUUAUGCAGGGCAAGAAUUUGUAGAGUUCAAUCAGUACAAUAAGAAAUCAAAAGUAUUUUGUGGGUCAGGCGACACCCAGAUUUGAACUGGGGAUAAAGGAUUUGCAGUCCCCUGCCUUACCGCUUGGCCAUGCCGCCAAAUCCGAUCCAAAAUAGAGAAGAGAAAAAUCUUAUUCAUACACAUUCAUUUACUAAUUCUUUAUCGUAGGAGGGGAUUACUAAACCCUUACACUUCCAAUGAUAUAUCAGGCUAGCCCCUUACUUACUAUGGUGUAUGGAAGUAGACCGUAUCGAGAUGAUAUAUGGAACUAAACUAUCAUUAUUAUUUAAGCAUUUCUUAGGAUGCAUCCCAAAUAGAUAGAUGCAUUCCAAGAUCCUAUUCGCUAUCCCUCAGAUAGAGGACAGUCGAGGAAGAAGACACUGGUUGCUCUGGUUAAUAGGAUAACCCUUCUUGUCUUGUAUCGGGGAAGGAUCCGCUGACUAAUUACUAGGUGGUGGGCCUGUAAAGCAAACUAAGAGCGGGGAAGCUCCAUCGAUUCUCAAAGAUCUGGUUGUUGAUAUUGGCAUUGGCCAACAACGAAUAUUAUUGUUUCCGUCCUUGCCUUCGGACUAGGAUUGUUCCUUCUUUCCCUGCAUCCUGUUUGCUUUAUCUCGCUGCUUCUUCUGCUUAUCCUUACUUUCGGUCAAUAAGACAUACUUAACUAGAACUAGGGGCGUACUAUACUUGUCCUCACGGACCAACGUUCUAUCUAUACCCAGGUUAGGCGGAGCGGGAGGAGCUGAUUGAGAAGAGAGGUCCCCUAUCUCUGUCGGUUAGUGAAAUCCGGGUGAAAUGCGAUAUAGGUUCUUCCUUAUUACUAUUGACUGGUAGGACAAACGCGAUAUAGGUUCUUCCUUUAUUCUAACAUAAACGAUCUGCUAAAGCAAGUCUUGUGAUAUGGUUGACUCAAAAUCAGGAUCUUACAAGCAGGGAAACUACCUCGCAUUGGGGCCAGCAUAGUAUCCGGUAAGCCUUCUCGAAAGAAAAGGCCCCUAUGAAUACUAGUCCACUUGUAAUACGUAAUUCUUGGGUCCCUACUUCUCAAGAAAAGUCAACUAUCGCUUUCCCUGCUUUCAGGAACUUCCAACUAGUCACUUCUCGCUUUUGAUCUCUUCCGUUUCCCAAGUCCGGUAACCCGCUUUGCUUUCCUGUUUCCUUUUACGAAACCUUCAUCACUACUUCUCCUUCACUGAAACAUGCUUAAAAUGAGUUUAAACUCACGUUUAAACAAUCAAAUGUACAAUCUAUCUUCUUAUCCCGGCUCGAGGUAAGGAGCCAAUGGAGUUCGAGGUCAGGUGUUACAGACUUCUAGAACAGAGCACUGAAUACCAAGUAAAGGUGGAUACAGCAGAGAAUGCAGAUAUAUAAAGGCCGAAGCAAGUAGAUAUAGGUUAGUUGUUAGGGUGGCUAUGUCCACUCGAGAUAUAGCACAAGGUGAAGGUAGUCAGCAAAGGGAAGAGAAUUGCCACUACUUCUUGUGGGUGGGUAUUGCGAUGGAUAGCAACGCCUUGCAGCUUGUUUAAAGUUAUAAGAAGAAGAAAGAUUGAACUAUGCUAGAUUGACUCAAUAAGAGAGAGAAGGAUUGUAUAGAUGAUAUAUGCGGCUUGUAUGUAUCAAUUGACCUAGACAAGGGUUUAUGUUAGACGAAGCGGUUGGAUUGAGUGAAUAAAGAAAAAGUAUCAAGAAUUGCUGUUCUUCCACUGCUACAAGCUUCCAGUCGGAUAAAAAGAUAGGAAUAGGGAUGACCUUCCAUGCAGAUGAUCCAUUAUUUCCUUUUUCUCAUGACCUGAGGGCUUCUUGUUGUUAGCUUGGUUGCAUUCCUGUUUCCGAAACCUUAACUAGCUUGCUUUCCGUCUUGCCUUUGCCGGAGGCAUAGGUUGAGCUUUAGCAAUAGCAGACAGUUAGGGAACAUAGGAAACCCAAGAAAGGAGGAGCGAGCUAUGGUUUUGGUAGAUACCCUAACUAAUCUAUUGGGAAAAGCUGGACCCAUCUAAUAGCUAACUUUUCUUUGCUGAGCGGACGGGAAUAGCUUACUUCACGUAAGUACAGUAGCAGGUAUCCACCUUUUCCCUCAUAUAGGGAAGCAAGAAGUUCAUCUAACCCCUUAAAGAUGCGCCGUUCUUCAGUUCUUUAUAGCAAACUUAUGUAGGUAGGGCUGGUAGGAAAAGUGAGAAAUAGGCUCACGCAAUUGGAAGGACUUAUUCUUUUUCAGAAAAUGAAUACAGCUUUUCCCUGUUCCGUUCAGCUAUCCACCAGCUUUCCUAGAGUUGGGGUCAGUCAGGUAGGAUUCCCGGUGAUGAGUAGGAUUCCCUCUUCCUUCGCCUAGUAACGGAUACGUUCCAUGUCUCUUGCUUAGUGUAAUAUAGAUGAAAUGUUAUGCUUCUCGUAUGUGGCUUGAGGAAGAGAGAAUGGGUAGAUAACGUCCCUCUGUACCAUAUGUUGAUAUGUUGAUUGGAGACAGCUACACAAACUGCCUCUCUUGCAUUACGUGAUAGAAAUGAAAUGACAGCAGCCCUCGCUGAAUACCGUUCAAUAUCCGUAUUAGACAAAUCAAGACUUUGAGCGUAUCGGUAUCGAUAAGUUCCCGUCCCGAUAUCCCUGGGUUCCUUACUAUUAAUGGACAAGUUGGUAACAUUCAAUUGAGAGGACAAGUUGGUAGAUGCAUCCCACUCUCUUUGGGAAAAGCAGGAUUCUAGCUUGCUCCCUUAAGUCUAAGAAAAAAGAAAAGCCAUUCUCCUCCGAAAGUAAAAUGAGCAGACUAGACCAGUAACCAUAUCUUAUCGGUCAUCCUAUUGUUGAUGAAUCAAAGCGAGAUCAGAUUGCUCUUGAUGACGAGGGCCGAUGUUGAAGAGGCUUUCUAUUGAUCCACCUACUUUCAACUGAACAGUAGUUAGUUAAGGAGUGCCGGGUUUGCUUGAUAAGGGAUUCUUGUUUUGACUCUAGUGCACCAUCUAUCUCUGGAUCCGGGCUCGCCUCCACUAUCGUUCCGGGUUGAUGAAAGCUAGAACCUACUUCCUACCAUGCUGGCUUUCCCUUCUAGGCAUUUGUCCAACCCUCUGGUCAAUAUAUCUGAUCUUGGGCAAUCCUGUAAUGAAAUCCAUUGUAACUGUUUUUCCAAUGCACAAUUAGUAAUUGGUAAAGGCUCUAAUAACACAGGAAUCUUUAUAUCCAUUGUUCAGCUUCCAAGCGAAAGAACUACUCGAUUUGAUCAAUUGCUAUAGCUAUUGCGCACACAACCUUUCCUUGCUCUAGCUCUUCGCCAGCUGCCACUAUAAGGAAGUUUUCAGUUGGUUCUUUUAUUCUUUAGCCAGCGUAGCUAGUCUGAUUGGUUUCAUCCCUAGCUUGCAACAACUACUUAUCUGUUUCUUUAUCAUUAGCUUUAACAAGCUUCUUUCGCUUAUAAUAUUCUAAGUCUAUUUUUCCAAUUUGCCGUGGUAUGAGAGUGCUUUGGUCGACAGGAACAGUUAGGGAACAGGGAACACGGGCACGAUAAUGGAAGUUGAUCACAUAUUAUAUUACAAAGAAAAGGGUUGAUGCUGAGCUUAUUGAAAAACGGGGGCUUCUCACGAGCGAGCGGGACAAUUCCGGAUCAACAAGGCCAAGUAGCCAUUGCCCAUCUUAAGAGAUUAAGUGCUUCAUUUCGCUUAAAACCUACAUUCCCUCCAGAAGCACUCUUUCUUAUACAUUUUUUCGGUUGACUGAGUGCAUUUACUAGCAUUUUAUUAUCCUUUGAGAUAGGAAUCCAUCAAUAAGAUCAAGCUGGAAGGUCUGUCUUGAGUUCAGUUUCUGUCAACGAUGAAAGAAAGUAAAUGAAGUAUAUUCUCAAAUCAAGUCAACAAGUCAAUAUGUAUCAACAAUCUAAGAAAAAGAAGAAGGCAACCACCACCGAGAACUGACUCCACAACCGAGAAGCGUGUCAGCCUUCCUUAUUCAAUCAACUCUAAUUUAGUACUAGUACGAUCAAGAAAAGUAAGAAGUUGAACCAGAGUCACUAUUAUUAUUAGUAGUAUAGUCAGUUGUAUAUGUACCUGCACGAAUCUUUCAAGUAAGUCAUUAGCCAUAAAGUCCAAAUAGAGUAAGGAGUAAGUGCAUCGACGUCUAAGGGUGUAGAUCACAUUGAUUUAAGAUUCUGCUUUGAAGAAGAGAUUCUUGUUCAAGAUGGUUGUUUUAGGCUGAGUGUUGAAGAAGCUACGAGUUUGCAAACAAGAAGGUAGAAAGCGGAAGUAUGAUCAAGACAAUCCUCCCUUCGUCUCCUCAACCAUAUGUAGGCUUUCGAUCGCCUUGACUUACCUUCGAUUCUUCUGGACCGCCGGACAGGUCAACCUUUGAGCAGGACUGAAGAGUUGGACUGGAAAGCAUACUUUAUGUGAUUCCGGAGGCGCCUCACCACAAAUGCCUUUCCGUGACCUUUACAAGCCUAUUUGUAAAAAACCUGGAAACUACUUCUCGUGAUGAGCUAUCUUAUUGGCGGCUAUUAGUGACGUAUACCGUGCAAAAAGCCUUUCCCGUUCAUAUGCCUACUUGACGACUUAUUCCUGUCCCAGCGAGGAACUACGGCAUGUUUCGAGCUAAAAUAAAAGCUCUACCACAACAAUGAAGAGGGGCCAUUGAUACCCACAUCCCCUGAGGAACUCAAGCAAGAUCAAAGUAUUUCUCACACUGUCUUGUCCAUCCUACUGGAUUAUCACCCUAAAAAAAAGUAGGAAAAUCCAUUUUGGGCCUGGAUAUAGUUAAGCUGAAAGACCUAUCAGAUUCAGUGGUUCACUUCUCCUUCUCCAGUUCCUUACUUAUGAAUUGGGUUCCAGAGUGAUGUGGUGCAGGGAUUGAAAAGGAUGGGGCUGCCUCAGUAAACACAAACCCAUGGGAGUACGUUAGAAAGA